rnacentral:miRNA from 1 species
AGGAGAGAGAAGGGUUGCU